rnacentral:rRNA from 1 species
GAUGAACGCUGGCGGCGUGCCUAAUACAUGCAAGUCGAGCGAACGGACGAAAAGCUUGCUUCUCUGAUGUUAGCGGCGGACGGGUGAGUAACACGUGGAUAACCUACCUAUAAGACUGGGAUAACUUCGGGAAACCGGAGCUAAUACCGGAUAAUAUUUUGAACCGCAUGGUUCAAAAGUGAAAGACGGUCUUGCUGUCACUUAUAGAUGGAUCCGCGCUGCAUUAGCUAGUUGGUAAGGUAACGGCUUACCAAGGCAACGAUGCAUAGCCGACCUGAGAGGGUGAUCGGCCACACUGGAACUGAGACACGGUCCAGACUCCUACGGGAGGCAGCAGUAGGGAAUCUUCCGCAAUGGGCGAAAGCCUGACGGAGCAACGCCGCGUGAGUGAUGAAGGUCUUCGGAUCGUAAAACUCUGUUAUUAGGGAAGAACAUAUGUGUAAGUAACUGUGCACAUCUUGACGGUACCUAAUCAGAAAGCCACGGCUAACUACGUG